rnacentral:rRNA from 1 species
AACGUAGGAGGCAAGCGUUAUCCGGAGUUACUGGGCGUAAAGCGCGUGUAGGCGGCUCGGUAAGUGGGUCGUGAAAGCGCCCGGCUAAACUGGGCGAGGACGAUCGAGACUGCCAGGCUAGAGGGUGGUAGAGGGACAGGGAAUUCCCGGUGUAGUGGUGGAAUGCGUAGAGAUCGGGAGGAACAUCAGUGGCGAAAGCGGCACCCUGGCCUUGGCCUGACGCUCAGGUGCGAAAGCGUGGGGAGCGAACGGG